AAUAGAUACCCAGGUAGUCCACGCCGUAAACGAUGAGUGCUAAGUGUUAGAGGGUUUCCGCCCUUUAGUGCUGCAGCUAACGCAUUAAGCACUCCGCCUGGGGAGUACGGCCGCAAGGCUGAAACUCAAAGGAAUUGACGGGGGCCCGCACAAGCGGUGGAGUAUGUGGUUUAAUUCGAAGCAACGCGAAGAACCUUACCAGGUCUUGACAUCCUCUGCCAACCCUAGAGAUAGGGCGUUCCCCUUCGGGGGACAGAGUGACAGGUGGUGCAUGGUUGUCGUCAGCUCGUGUCGUGAGAUGUUGGGUUAAGUCCCGCAACGAGCGCAACCCUUGAUCUUAGUUGCCAGCAUUCAGUUGGGCACUCUAAGGUGACUGCCGGUGACAAACCGGAGGAAGGUGGGGAUGACGUCAAAUCAUCAUGCCCCUUAUGACCUGGGCUACACACGUGCUACAAUGGAUGGUACAAAGAGCUGCGAACCCGCGAGGGUAAGCGAAUCUCAUAAAGCCAUUCUCAGUUCGGA
rnacentral:rRNA from 1 species